GGGGAAUAUUGCGCAAUGGGGGAAACCCUGACGCAGCAAUACCGCGUGAGGGAAGAAGGUUUUCGGAUUGUAAACCUCUGUCGCAAGGGACGAAAGAAAUGACGGUACCUUGUAAGAAAGCCCCGGCUAACUACGUGCCAGCAGCCGCGGUAAUACGUAGGGGGCAAGCGUUGUCCGGAAUUACUGGGCGUAAAGGGUGCGUAGGCGGCUAUUUAAGUUGGAUGUGAAAUACCCGGGCUUAACUUGGGGGGUGCAUUCAAAACUGGAUGGCUAGAGUUCAGGAGAGGGAAGCGGAAUUCCUAGUGUAGCGGUGAAAUGCGUAGAUAUUAGGAGGAACACCAGUGGCGAAGGCGGCUUUCUGGACUGACACUGACGCUGAUGCACGAAAGCGUGGGGAGCAAACA
rnacentral:rRNA from 2 species